UACGUAGGGAGCAAGCGUUGUCCGGAAUCAUUGGGCGUAAAGCGCGCGUAGGCGGCCCUGUAAGUCCGUUGUGAAAGUCAAAGGCUCAACCUUUGAAAGCCGAUGGAUACUGCAGGGCUAGAGUCCGGAAGAGGCGAGUGGAAUUCCUGGUGUAGCGGUGGAAUGCGCAGAUAUCAGGAGGAACACCAAUAGCGAAGGCAGCUCGCUGGGGACGGUACUGACGCUAAGGCGCGAAAGCGUGGGGAGCGAACAGG
rnacentral:rRNA from 1 species